GACGGAGGAUGCAAGUGUUAUCCGGAAUCACUGGGCGUAAAGCGUCUGUAGGUUGUUUAAAGAGUCUGCAGUUAAAGGUUGAAGCUUAACUUCAAAAAUGCCGUAGAAACUUUUAAACUAGAGGAUGGUAGGGGUAGAGGGAAUUUCCAGUGGAGCGGUGAAAUGUGUAGAUAUUGGAAAGACCACCGAUGGCGAAGGCACUCUACUGGGCCAUGACUGACACUGAGAGACGAAAGCUAGGGGAGCAAAUGGG
rnacentral:rRNA from 1 species